rnacentral:rRNA from 1 species
GACGAACGCUGGCGGCGUGCCUAACACAUGCAAGUCGAGCGGGAACCUCAGGAGGGGUAACCCUCCUGAGGGGAGAGCGGCGAACGGGUGAGUAACACGUGGGCAACCUGCCCCGGACACCGGGAUAACCCAGGGAAACCUGAGCUAAUACCGGAUACUCCGGCGAGAUCGCAUGGUCGCGCCGGGAAAGCUCCGACGGUCCGGGAUGGGCCCGCGGCCUAUCAGCUUGUUGGUGGGGUAACGGCCCACCAAGGCGACGACGGGUAGCUGGUCUGAGAGGACGGCCAGCCACACUGGGACUGAGACACGGCCCAGACUCCUACGGGAGGCAGCAGUGGGGGAUCUUGCGCUAAUGCGCGAAAGCGUGACGCAGCGACGCCGCGUGGGGGAUGAAGGCCCUCGGGUUGUAAACCCCUUUCGGCAGGGACGAAGCGAAAGUGGCGGUACCUGCAGAAGAAGUCCCGGCUAACUACGUGCCAGCAGCCGCGGUAACAC